GACGAACGCUGGCGGCGUGCUUAACACAUGCAAGUCGAACGGAAAGGCCCUGCUUUUGUGGGGUGCUCGAGUGGCGCACGGGUGAGUAACACGUGCGUAACCUGCCCUUGACUUUGGGAUAACUUCAGGAAACUGGGGCUAAUACCGGUUAGGAGCUCCUGCUGCAUGGUGGGGGUUGGAAAGUUUCGGCGGUUGGGGAUGGACUCGCGGCUUAUCAGCUUGUUGGUGGGGUAGUGGCUUACCAAGGCUUUGACGGGUAGCCGGCCUGAGAGGGUGACCGGCCACAGUGGGACUGAGAUACGGCCCAGACUCCUGCGGGAUGCAGCAGUGGGGAAGAUUGCACAAUGGGCGGAAGCCGGAUGCAGCAACGCCGCGUGCGGGAUUACGGCCUGCGGGUUGUAAACCGCUUUCGCCUGGGACUAAGCGUGAGUGACGGUAAUGGGUAAAGAAGCACCGGCUAACUACGUG
rnacentral:rRNA from 1 species